AUACGGAUUAACUCACAAACAAUUAAACUCUUAAAUCACACAACACAUAAAGACAUAAAAAUCUCUUUAAUUUCAGGACAUUCUGAAUUUCGCCAAGAUAUGUUUGACUAGAUCUGCUUGCAAUUCAUGAUGUGCAUUUGAAUCACGUAACUCUCUCUUGAUGUAUUUUCUUUUGUUACGACGUGGAUAAUCUUCUUCAACAUUGUUGCGACGCUCUCUAGACUGGUUUAUUAUAUACUUCUCUUCAAUUUGAUAUUGUCUAUUGUAAGCUUCAAUAUCGAAAGGAAAUUCUGAUGGAUCCAUUGGAUUUUUUUUAGUAAGAUGAUGUUUGUGAUAUUAUUUC